CCACCGUCUCCAGAAGCCGUACAGCAGAAGUUUGAACUUCUGAUGAAGGACCCUUCUGUCAAGUGGCAGGUGAUUGAUGCAGCCAGGAACAUGAAGAUGUGCACGCUGCAUUAAGAAACCACAGUGUUGAUGCCAUCAAAGCAGCAGAGAACGAGCCAAUCGGGGAGCUGUGGAAGGAGAUUACACCUAACAGUGCCUAGUACACAAGGAGAAGUCCGAAGAUGGGUAAAAGACUUGAAUAUGAAACUGCAAACUGUAUGUUACGAUAUUUAAGUGGGUAUAGUCAACUCUUUCAAAUCAUUAUUUCACACAAAAAAAACACAAACAAGUAAAUUUAAAUAAAUGUCCAAGCUGUAAAUUUA